ensembl:lncRNA
UGCACUUGUUAGCGGCGACCUCCGGCUCGGCCCCCGGCGGGCGAUGCGGGCGGCGCGGGCGGCCCCCUCCCCCGGCCCGCGUCUCCGGGACGGCUGCGGGCGGCCCCCCCGGGGGCCGGAGGGCUCCCCAGCCCCGAUCUGACAGCCACAGAGGCGGCGGGGGAAGGAGCAGCGGCUCGCAGCCCUCGGCCUUCGCCCCCACCCAGCGCCAGCCGGACGGGGGAGCAGAGCGCCGGAGGGUGGCGGCCUCCGGGGUCUCCGCUCCGGGAAGCCGCUCCGAGCCGGGGGCUUCGGUGACCGCGCAGGCUUUCCCGGGGCCCGGGAGCCACUUAACAGUAGCCCAGCCGAGGCUCGGAUGCAAAAGUUAUUGGUGGCGACUGCUACAAGAGGAGGACCGGAGUCGCUUGGAGAGGGGUGUUGUUGCUAAUGAGCUCUCUCUUCUCCCUCCCUACAAUGAAAGACAAGCCAGACCCCGGGUACCUGGAUGGAUUGGGAGCUGAAGUCUCAGAAACAUCCUGAUAAGUUGCCGACGGCUACCAGCCGAGGUCAGCUGGCCCUGUUAGCGCCUGUCCCAACCAAAGCAGGCCCAGAUCCGCUGCCCCCCAG